GAGGGUAUAGCUCAAGUGGCAGAGCUCAUGCUUAGCAUGCGCGAGGUCCUGGGUUCAAUCCCCAGUGCCUCCU
rfam:Camelus ferus unplaced genomic scaffold scaffold2797, whole genome shotgun sequence.